rnacentral:rRNA from 1 species
UACGAAGGGGGCUAGCGUUGCUCGGAAUCACUGGGCGUAAAGGGUGCGUAGGCGGGGCUUUAAGUCAGGGGUGAAAUCCUGGAGCUCAACUCCAGAACUGCCUUUGAUACUGAAGAUCUUGAGUCCGGGAGAGGUGAGUGGAAUUGCGAGUGUAGAGGUGAAAUUCGUAGAUAUUCGCAAGAACACCAGUGGCGAAGGCGGCUCACUGGCCCGGAACUGACGCUGAGACGCGAAAGCGUGGGGAGCAAACAGG